ACGGUCCCCGGGCGCCAGCCUCACAGUCAGCCACACCGGCGCUGUCGGCGGGCAUCUCACCUCACUCUCCACCAUUUAUCACCCCGUGCUCGCUUCCAAGCCAAGCCGCGCUCGACGCCAACCACCGCCAGCUCCACCACUCCCACACUCCAACACUACCUCGCCCGCCGCUUCCCCGCCCGUCUCCACUUCCCUCCGCAGCCGCUAUAACUACAGCCCGCGAGCCGCGAACCGCGAGCAGAGCGAGAGGGAGUAAUCCUAGCCGUCGCGUGUGCCGCCACCCAAGACGUGCGCGAGCGAGAGGAGCAAGAUGGCGAGCGGCAGCGGCGAGGAGAAGGUGGCGAGCGGCAGCGGCGGAGAGGGGAAGGUGGCGAGCGGCAGCGGCGUGGGGAAGGUGGCGAGCGGCAGCGGCGAGGGGAAGGCGGACCCCGCGGGCGCCCUGUACCUGCAGUACGCCGCGUCGUACGGCACCGGGGUGUACGACGACCGCCAGUGGUGGCCGUGGCUCGUGCCCACCUUGCUCGGCGCGUGCGUCGCGGUGUUCGCCGUCGAGAUGUACGAGAACGACUGCCCCAGCCACGGGAGCACCCUGGGCGGCCGCGCCACCUGCGUCGCCGGGUUCCUCCGCCGGUUCUCCUUCCAGCCGCUGCGCGAGAACCCGCUCCUCGGCCCGUCCUCCGCCACUUUGGAGAAGAUGGGAGCUCUUAACUGGGCCAAAGUUGCUUAUCAACACCAAGGAUGGCGCCUAAUCAGCUGUAUGUGGCUCCACGCUGGUCUAAUCCACUUGGUUAUCAACAUGCUGAGCUUGCUGUUCAUCGGAAUCCGCCUUGAACAGCAAUUUGGCUAUGUCCGCAUUGGGAUCAUCUACCUGCUGUCUGGCUUUGGAGGCAGUGUGCUGUCUGCACUGUUCUUACGUAACCACAACAUCUCUGUUGGUGCCUCUGGAGCCCUGUUUGGCCUACUUGGCUCUAUGCUCUCGGAGAUAUUUAUGAACUGGACUAUUUAUUCCAACAAGGCAGCAGCCAUCAUAACUCUUCUGUCUAUAAUUGUGAUCAAUUUGGCGAUCGGGAUACUGCCGCACGCCGAUAAUUUUGCCCACAUUGGUGGAUUCGUAACUGGAUUCCUUCUCGGGUUUGUGCUGCUGGCAAGGCCUCAGUUUGGUUGGAUGGAACGUAAUGGGUUGCCAGAGACUAAUCAACCUCCAAAGUACAGAAGGUACCAGUAUGUUCUGUGGGGCGCGGCACUGCUCUUGCUCCUAGUUGGGUACGCUGUCUCCCUGGCGAUGCUUUUCAAGGGCAAGAACGGCAACGAUGGAUGCCACUGGUGCCGGUACCUGAACUGCUUACCGACAUCCAGAUGGAAGUGCACUUAGACGGUUCAGUUCCACCCAUUUGGUCUUUCUCCGAAAUACUCCAUACAUGAAUCCUCUGGGAUCCUCUCUCUUUAUGUUUGUGUGUUUAUAGACCUGCAUCAGACUUGUGCUUUACAGAGCCGAAUACCUUCUGUAUCUAUGAAGUAAAACCAUGCGCGAUGAGCCGAUGAUGUAAUUUGAACUUGUACCUGUUUGCGGUUUCCUCGCAAGGCAAUUAAAUGGUGUAAUUGUA